rnacentral:rRNA from 1 species
UACGAAGGGUGCAAGCGUUAGUCGGAAUUACUGGGCGUAAAGCGUGCGUAGGCGGUUUUCUAAGUCUGCCGUGAAAGCCCCGGGCUUAACCUGGGAAUGGCAUUUGGGACUGCAAGGCUUGAGUGCGGCAGAGGAGACUGGAAUUCCUGGUGUAGCAGUGAAAUGCGUAGAUAUCAGGAGGAACACCGAUGGCGAAGGCAGCUCGCUGGGACGGUACUGACGCUGAGGCGCGAAAGCGUGGGGAGCGAACAGG